UCAAAAGCUUUCCGGAAAGAGAAGAUUGCUAUGGUGAUCAUUGUUGUGGUUUGCCGGGAACCGUCAGAUAACAGCAUUCCACACCAUCAUUGCACCUGGCCAUGGGUUCUUUUUGCCUCAGGUUUUUGAACAUUCAGACAGAGCUUAGCCGUGCCUCCCCUACUUCCUGAUGGACCCUUUCAUUAUUUCCUUCCAUUACAAAACCUUGGGAAUUUCUGUUUUGCCAGAGUAUGUCCUGGUUCUACAUAGAAUUCUCCUACCUCUGAUGCUUUUAAAAUGUGCUUGUGGAUCUGCACAGAUAGGUUUGGAUGUCAGAAUCCCAAACUCAAGGUGUCAGUAGGAUCACACUCCCUCUGAAGGCUCUAGGGCAGAAUCCUUGCCUGCCUCUUCCAGCUUCUUGUGAGUCCUGGCAAUCUUUGGCAUCCCUUGUCUUGUAGCUCCAUCAUUCCAAUCUCUGCCUCCCUCUUCACAUGGCCUUCUCUGCGCAUCUCUGUGCGUCUUCACUGCUUCUGAUAAAGAUACCUGUCACUGGACUUAGGGCCCUCUCUAACUCGGUAUGACCUUAUCUCAAGAGCCAUAACCAAUUGCAUCUGCAAAGACCCUAUUUCUAACAAGGUUACAUUCUGAGGUUCUGGGUGGUCGGGAAUUUUCAGCGAACACUCUCUAACCUACUAUGUAAACCCAAGUAAAAACCUAACUAUUUCACAG
rnacentral:lncRNA from 1 species